rnacentral:rRNA from 1 species
AUGUCUGGCUGGGUUCAAGAGAAGUCUGGCGAGGCCACGAAGAUGGCAUCCAAGACGGGGCAGUCCAUCCAGGACCGCGCCGUCGAGGCAAAAGACCAGACCGGCAGCUUCCUUGGCGAGAAGAGUGAAGUUGUCACGAAGGCUGCCUCCGAGACUACGGAGGCAGCCAAAAAGAUGAGUGGCGAGGCCAUGGCGAAGGCCCCGGUCGCCCCCAAGGAAAAUGUCUUCCAACAGGCUGGCGGGAAUAUGGUGGGUGCCGCUACGGAUGCCAAGGAUGUUGUCAUGAACACACUCGGGAUGGGAGGAGGCAAGUGA